rnacentral:lncRNA from 1 species
CACAGAGAUCCCGUGUAUGACCUGGCCAGAGGGGAAGAGAGGGAACGCUCAGCUCUGAGAUGAGGUCAGAAGACCCCCAUCCAGAGAGAGUCCUGCGCCAUAUGAGGAAGGAAGGAAUGCUGCGCAGAGAGGCCGAAAAGAAUCUUGACAGACAGGCCUCGCUGGGUUCCCCACUCAGUCUAUCAGCAUUAGAUCAGGCUCUUUUGUCCAACCGUAUUUCUACACGGCCAUCCAUACUUUGUUGAACUGAAGCCUAAAAAUGGACAGUUUCUCCUGUAUCUUUGGGUGUUCAUUCUGAAGGUUCUUGUAUCUCAUAAAACCAUGGUCAAAUAAAUUUGUGUAUUUGUUUGCCUUUUCUCCUAUUAAUCUGCCUCUUUUUUUUUUUUUUUUUUU